UUUAACCACUGCGUGGAGUGAAAAUUGGAUCGCAUAUCAUUACAAAAGUACCGUUUGUAGGUACAAUUAGUAACAAACUGAAGUAAGCAGUUGAAUCCAUCUGAUCUUAUAAUUUUGUCUUUGUUUCGAUCGUUAAAAGGGAAGCAAUAGUUUCAAAGACGAUCCAAGAGAAGUGUAUGGCAACAGGAAUAGGAGAAAGGACAAACGGACAAACAAGAGAAGAAAUGGGAAUUGUUGGUGAAAUUGAACAUUUUAAAGACUUUCCACUGCACUCUUAGUACAUAGUUAUGUUUAUAGAGUGGGCUUGAAAUGGCGAAGCCUUCUCAAAGCUAGCAGUACAUGGAAUUGGAUUAGAGGAAUCAGUCAUCUUCCAUAAUAGAUGCAGAGCGGGCGAACCUUCCACAACCUUCCGGGCCAGUAAGUGAAUACGCCCCUUUAUAUUCAGCGCCACGCUGUUGGGAGAUUCCUGAAGAGCUUGUUACUAUAAAAAAAGUCGUUGGUAAAGGUGCUUUUGGUCAGGUUGCCAAAGCAAAAGUCAGAGGUGUCCUAGAGAGACCAUCGACGACACUUGUGGCUGUUAAGAUGUUCAAAGAUCACGCUCGUGAAUCGGACAGGAAGGACAUUUUGACUGAACUUCAAUUGAUGAAGGAACUCGAUGCCCAUCCUCACGUCAUUAAACUUCUGGGAUGUGUCACGAGAUCUGAUUAUCCAUCGAGACCUUGCAGCUCGUAAUGUGUUGGUUGGAGAAGGGGAAACGUGCAAAGUUACAGACUUUGGUAUGGCCAGAGAUGUUCAAGAGGACAAUAUUUAUCAAAUGAGGUCAAAGGGACGUAUCCCUUUAAAAUGGACUGCUUUUGAGGCGCUGCUGUACGGAAAAUAUUCUACAAAAAGUGACGUGUG